UACAGAGGGUGCGAGCGUUAAUCGGAAUUACUGGGCGUAAAGGGCGCGUAGGUGGUGAGUUAAGAUUGUUGUGAAAUCCCUGGGCUUAACCUAGGAACUGCAACGAUGACUGAUUCGCUUGAGUAUUGUAGAGGGUAGUGGAAUUUCCGGUGUAGCGGUGAAAUGCGUAGAGAUCGGAAGGAACACCAGUGGCGAAGGCGGCUACCUGGACAAAUACUGACACUGAGGCGCGAGAGCGUGGGGAGCAAACAGG
rnacentral:rRNA from 1 species